rnacentral:rRNA from 1 species
UACGUAGGGCGCAAGCGUUAUCCGGAAUUAUUGGGCGUAAAGAGCUCGUAGGCGGUUUGUCGCGUCUGCUGUGAAAUCCGGAGGCUCAACCUCCGGCCUGCAGUGGGUACGGGCAGACUAGAGUGCGGUAGGGGAGAUUGGAAUUCCUGGUGUAGCGGUGGAAUGCGCAGAUAUCAGGAGGAACACCGAUGGCGAAGGCAGAUCUCUGGGCCGUAACUGACGCUGAGGAGCGAAAGCAUGGGGAGCGAACAGG